rnacentral:misc_RNA from 1 species
GAAAUGCGAUAAGUAAUGUGAAUUGCAGAAUUCAGUGAAUCAUCGAAUCUUUGAACGCACAUUGCGCCCGCCAGUAUUCUGGCGGGCAUGCCUGUUCGAGCGUCAUUACAACCCUCAGGCCCCCGGGCCUGGAGUUGGGGAUCGGCGGAAGCCCCCUGCGGGCACAACGCCGUCCCCCAAAUACAGUGGCGGUCCCGCCGCAGCUUCCAUUGCGUAGUAGCUAACACCUCGCAACUGGAGAGCGGCGCGGCCACGCCGUAAAACACCCAACUUCUGAAUGUUGACCUCGAAUCAGGUAGGAAUACCCGCUGAACUUAAGC